rnacentral:tRNA from 1 species
GCGCCCAUAGCUCAGAUGGAUAGAGCAUCGGCCUUCUAAGCCGAGGGUCCCAGGUUCGAUCCCUGGUGGGCGCG